rnacentral:tRNA from 1 species
GGCUGAAUAGCUCAGUGGUAAGAGCAGUCGCCCGGCAAGCGAAAGACUUGGGUUCGAUUUUCGAUUUAGCGA